rnacentral:tRNA from 2 species
UCCCCAGUAGCUCAGUUGGCAGAGCAGGUGGCUGUUAACCACCGGGUCCGCGGUUCGAGUCCGUGCUGGGGAGCCA